rnacentral:lncRNA from 1 species
AGAGAAUAUGGAUGUGCUAGGAUUGAAGGCACUUGUCAUCACCAAUCUAAUGGGCUCAACUGGGACAAGUGAUUGCAUUUUUCUUCUCAAAUGGUGGGCUACAUAACAAGAAUUUAGCAUUAGACAGGUAUGCCAGUGUUGCUGCUAGUGGAAAGUGCACCAAUAUACAUGCUACUCCAGGAUAAGGUUGGCAGAUAUGCUUUGGUCAAACACUGGCAUGCACAAGGGACGAACAAACAAACGUAGACAGCCGUCAUAUCUUGCCAUCAAGAACAAGAUUUAAGAAAAGACCUGUGGCCGUGGUCAUGUAUGAUGUAGCUCAAUCACCCCAGAAACAGAAGAUGUUAUUAAAAGUAUAAGCUGAUUCCAGUUUGGCUCUGGCAGAGUGAGGGCAGAAGAGAGGACAACAUGUUGGAGGGGAAGCCAGAGAGUUAACCAGAGAUUAAAUCCUGUUGGCUCUUACCGGACAAGGACUGGGCUUUUACUCUGAGUGAGAUCAGAAGCCAUUGCUGGGCUGGGACCGGAGGAGAUACACAGCUCACAAAACACAUCAAUACAGAGAAUUCAAACUUCUGAAAAACAUAUUGGAUGAAGAAAUGAAGUCCAAAUUAAAAUGAGGAAGUCCAGUCAGAUGACGAACUUGAACACAAAGAGCAAGCCAUUGAGCACUAGUUGGCCACAGAUGUGGAUUUAAGUUUUCUAGCUGCCAAAAUGUAAAGAGGGAAACACGAUCCUCUGCAGGACUCAACAGUAUCCCUGAGAUCGAAUCUGACAAACUGCUCAGAAGGGGCACCUAUGCUUUUCCCUGAGAUGAAUGUCUCCCAUCGUCAGAUGUCAGAUUCUGGAUCUAUUUUGACAAGAGAGCUCAAAGGAUUUCUUCACAGAUGGAAAUGAGGGGGCUGUGAACCCCUGAUAUCUGAGAGGUGUCUCAGUCAAUUUAGAAAGUUUAUUUUGCCAACGUUAAGGACGCGCCCAUGACAGCCUGAGGAGGUCCUGACGACACGUGCCCAAGGUGGUCAGGGCACAGCCUGCUUCCAUACAUUUUAGGGAGACAUGAAACAUCAAUAUGUAAGAUGUAUACUGGUUCGGUCUCUAAAGGUGGGACAACUUGAAUUGGUGAGGUGACUAGGAAGGUCAUAGGUAGAUAAAGACACACUGGUUGCAUUCGAGUUUCUGAUUAGCUUUCCAUAUUUUUUAAAUUGAAAAAUACCCAGUUAAUGUCAUAACUUAUCUUACUAUAACUUCAGAAUCUAAAUUAUAACAAGUUUUGUCUAAAAGCAUUUAUCUCAUUACAUUUACCUACUUUUUCUAAUAGUUUACCUAGAUUAUUUAUGAAACUGCGAUAGUCAUUUUAUUUCCUUUUCAACCAUUUUAUAGCCUGUGAAUUUCAGGUGUUUACCUAAGUAAAAGCCUUAAGAUUAAAUAUAUGGUUAUUUUACUGAAUAAUUGGAUAUUUAGCGAUUUUCAUUAAUCCAAUAUUAAUUUUUUUAUCAAAAAUUAUACAAGCAAAAAUUCUGUUUUUGCCGGAUUUAUAGUUUUGUAACCCGCAU